UACGGAGGAUUCGAGCGUUAUCCGGAUUUAUUGGGUUUAAAGGGUGCGUAGGCGGACUGGUAAGUCAGCUGUGAAAGUUUACGGCUCAACCGUGAAAUUGCAGUUGAUACUGUUGGUCUUGAGUAUACAUGAGGUGGGCGGAAUUCCUAGUGUAGCGGUAAAAUGCGUAGAUAUUAGGAGGAACACCAGUGGCGAAGGCGGCUUUCUGGCUAUUAACUGACGCUGAGGCGCGAAAGCGUGGGGAGCAAACAGG
rnacentral:rRNA from 1 species